CCUACGGGUGGCAGCAGUGAGGAAUAUUGGUCAAUGGCCGGAAGGCUGAACCAGCCAUGCCGCGUGAAGGUCAGUGCCCUAUGGGCGUUAAACUUCUUUUGUGCGGGAGCAAUAAUGGUCACGUGUGGCCAGACGAGAGUACCGUACGAAUAAGCAUCGGCUAACUCCGUGCCAGCAGCCGCGGUAAUACCGGGGAAGCCAGCCUUUUCCGGAUUUAUUGGGGUUUAAGGGUGCGUAGGCUGGGAGGUAAGGUAGCGGUGAAAUGCCCGCGGUCAACGGGGUGAAGUGCCAUUGAUACUGGCUUGCUGGAAUGCGGAUGACGUGGGAGGAAUGUGUGGUGUAGCGGUGAAAUGCAUAGAUAUCACACAGAACACCGAUUGCGAAGGCAUCUCACGAAUCCGCGAUUGACGCUGAUGCACGAAAGCGUGGGUAUCAAACAGGAUUAGAUACCCGUGUAGUC
rnacentral:rRNA from 1 species